UUUUAGACAGCACUUCUCCCAACAUUUCCCAGACUGAGAAGGUCACUGCUGGUGUGAUUUCCCCCUGGUCCCCGGAAUACCUCAUUGACUCGAACCUGUGACCCGUGGUCAAGCUCAUACGUCAGGUCAACACUGAGGGCCGAGGAUUUAAGAGCCGGGCCGAUCGAGCUGAACUCAGUCUCCACUGAGCUCCAUCCCACCUCUUGGUUCAACAUGAGGUUUCUGCUCCUGCUCUUCUGCGCCUUCACCCUGCUGGCAUUGGCCCAGGGACAGGCUGCACAUGGGAAAAGCCAGAGACUGAAACCAACUGUUGCAGCAGCAAAGCAAACAACUAUGACGAUGACAACUACACUUCCUCCAACAACUACAACUACAACUCCUCCAACUCCAACUACACUUCCUCCAACUACAACUACAACUACACUUCCUCCAACUACAACUACAACUACACUUCCUCCAACUACAACUACACUUCAUACAAUGACAGUACAUACUACCAGCGUAGCCCAAUCAACAAGCACCGGAGCUUCCUCGACUGGCACAAGCACAACUCUCUCGGGAACAUCCAACAGCUCUAACAGCACUAGUAAUUCUACUACAACUAGUAGUAAUACCAGUUCUCCGAGUAGCAGCUCCUCAGGAACUGGCCUCAACGGUAGCCUGGUAACUUGUAUGAAGUGCGUUCUGUUGUUAAUGUUCCGGUUCUGAGCGGCUGAAACGUCCAAGACGAAAGUAAAUUAUUGGGUGUCACUUUCACAAGUUAACGAUUAAGAAGGGUGGGACACUGAGUACGAUAUGUGAAAUUAACCUGAACCCGUUAGUUGCUUUGGGCAGCUUACAGUUUAUUAUGUUGAACAUUUUCUUGCCGAUUCAGGGCUGCCAGACAAGUACAAAAGUACUAUAAAUUGGUAAAUUCUUAACACUUUUCAGAGCAUCGUCUUUAAAAGAAGAAGAAUGCUGGCGAGGUAUUUAGCUGUUUGCUAUCGCUACUUUGCCUACCUUUUCUUUGACACUGAGAAUAUUUAUUUUCAUUUGAUGUUUGCACCCAAACUGUUCCAGCCAUGUAACAGUGUGUGCAGCCCAAAAUGUCUGCUAAUUCUGUGCCAUUACACGUUGGGCAGCAUUUUCAAACUGGCAAUAAGCACAGUGCUGCGGCCUAAAGGUGUGACGUUAAACGUGUCCUCAUAUGAGUAAAAAGAGCCACUUGCUAGUCGUUGAAGAAACUCAAUGAGAGGAGCCUGACUGACAGCUCUCAUGCAUGCCACGCCUUUAAACCUCAUCAUUAACAUCAUUAAGCAUCUAGUUUAUUUCCUAAGAAUGCCUCUGAGUUUACACUAGCAUACAUACCCAUCGCUUAGUGCGUAGCGCCAGUUUGAAAAUAGUGCCCACUGAAUGUAGUGCCCGCUUUGCUGAUCAUUGAUCACCAGGAUUUUAACUAGUUGAUCAGGGGGUCUGGUUGGUUCCAGCAUUAUCCUAAUCUUAACUUUCUGAACCUCAUAUGUGCUUCCCCUAAACUUUUUUUUGUCUGUUUAAAAAUGAAAUAUGCUGUAUCUUUAAGUUUUUCAAAGCUGAACAUUUAAGUAUUUAUUAAGGUUUGGAGCACUUUUCGUUGUUAAAAAUGUAUAACUGUGGAUAAUAGAAAUAAUGAGGUUAUAUUAUGUAGCGUCUGUGGUCUAAAAUGACCUUCUAUUGUUCAGUUCAUGUUUUUAUUCAUAAUGAGAUCCUUUUUAAGGGCUAAUGUGGAAUACCCCCAUAUACCCCCUAUACUAUAACUGCUAUGCACCUUUUUGAGUUCUGUGAAAAAACAUUUGAUCUAUCAUGGUAUUUAAUUUGCCUUGUCUGGUCUGUCAUUGCACAGAAAUUGUGCAAUGUACAGAAUAAAAUUAAAGGAAGAAAAAAAC
rnacentral:lncRNA from 1 species